UACGUAGGGUGCGAGCGUUAAUCGGAAUUACUGGGCGUAAAGCGUGCGCAGGCGGUUCGCCAAGUCAGGUGUGAAAUCCCCGGGCUUAACCUGGGAAUUGCGCUUGAAACUAGCGGGCUUGAGUGUGGCAGAGGGGGGUGGAAUUCCACGUGUAGCAGUGAAAUGCGUAGAGAUGUGGAGGGACACCGAUGGCGAAGGCAGCCCCCUGGGUCAACACUGACGCUCAUGCACGAAAGCGUGGGGAGCAAACAGG
rnacentral:rRNA from 1 species